rnacentral:lncRNA from 1 species
AGUGGCCACGGUUGCGCUGCUCGUUGAGGGUCUCGAGCACGGAAUUGCUGAAGUUGUGAAGGUUGAUGCUGUGAAUGCGCUCGGUCAUCCCCUUGCAACUGAUGUCACCUGCAGCAUGUCAACGCAGACACAAAACAGGGCAUGGGUCAGAUCUAGCUGGUUGCAUUCCUAACACCUAGGUUUCAGAGUAAAAAUACAGAGUCAGCUUGUGAUGGCAUUCCCUCAAAACAUGGAAGGAAUUGCAGUAAUGAAAGUCAUCAUGUAUUCUAAGAGACUGUUCUGCGAGAGCACAACACAGACGGGGCUAAAGCAGGGUGAGAAGCAAAAGUGCUCAGGAGUUAAGAGAAGCAGACGUCCGAAAUUAUCUCCAUGCAUUACCAAAAACCGUGGGCACCACGGCACGGGGAAAACUUACCAGGUACAAUGAGCCAGUGACUGUUACUGAAUUUCUUAAGAUUACACUUUUCCCAACUACUGCAGACUGCUUCAGAAUAGAAGAAGACAACUCUCAUGCCAUCAAGCCGACGGACUUUCAAAAAAAUAAAAGAUGCAUUUCUUUACUUGGCCCAUGAGAAGUAAAAGCAGGCACUGGCAUUCUGCACAGAUGAAAUACUUCCUACGACAGGAAUACAUGCUCACUUGUGGACUUCUCUGUAAUCUGUAGGCAACAUCAGCUCCUGAUUUCUAGGUCUGGAUCUGGGUUCUCUGUAGCACAGGAAGGUCUCUACUUCUCCUACAUAAAUGCCUUGCAUGGCGGGAACUAAAUCAACUACACAGACCCAUACAUCCAGAGAGCAGAGGUGAGCUGGAUACAAGUGGCUUAGAGAUGUGGUGGAAGGAGGCCAGAGCUCCAAGGGAAGGGCAGCAAGGAGACAACAGCAUGGGUUGCAGCUCAGACAACAGGUAAAUAAAACCAAGCAAAGCUGCUGGUCACAGAUUUGACCAGGGUGGCAAGAAAUGACAAGCUACCAUGAGAUUCAACAGUGGCACGGAAGGAUGAUGAGAAGCAAACAGAUUAGGAGAAGCUGCCACCACCGUACAUAGAGGCACAGAUGACCAAGCAGAACAGCACCAGUCCCUGCAAGGUGUGCUCAGAUACAGCUCAGCACAGCCAUCUGGCCAGGAGGGAAUGAUAAUGCACAUGGUGUGCACUGCAGCCGGGAAGUUGAGAACCGCUGUGGGCACCUCAGGACUGAGUCUGGUUACCCUGCUGAUCCAAGAAAUGAAGCCAUCUAAAAUUUUGCCUGCUUUCACAAUUUUCUGUGUGUGUGUGUGUGUAUUAAACAAAGUGAACUA